rnacentral:rRNA from 1 species
AGAAUCAACGCUGGCGGCGCGCCUAACACAUGCAAGUCGAACGAGAAAGUGGAGCAAUCCAUGAGUAAAGUGGCGUACGGGUGAGUAACACGUGGAUAACCUGCCCUUUAGUGGGGAAUACCGCUGGGAAACCGGCGACAAUACCGCAUAAUCCCGAGAGGGGAAAGCAAUCAUAUGCGCUGAAGGAGGGGUCCGCGGCCGAUUAGCUAGUUGGUAGGGUAAUGGCCUACCAAGGCUGUGAUCGGUAGCCGGCCUGAGAGGGCACACGGCCACACUGGCACUGAAACACGGGCCAGACUCCUACGGGAGGCAGCAGUGGGGAAUCUUGCACAAUGGGGGCAACCCUGAUGCAGCGACGCCGCGUGAGCGAUGAAGCCCUUCGGGGUGUAAAGCUCUUUCGGCAGGGAAGAUUAUGACGGUACCUGCAGAAGCAGCUGCGGCUAACUACGUGCCAGCAGCCGC